AUUGAACGCUGGCGGCAUGCUUUACACAUGCAAGUCGAACGGUAACAGGCCGCAAGGUGCUGACGAGUGGCGAACGGGUGAGUAAUGCAUCGGAACGUGCCCAGUCGUGGGGGAUAACGCAGCGAAAGCUGCGCUAAUACCGCAUACGAUCUAUGGAUGAAAGCGGGGGACCGUAAGGCCUCGCGCGAUUGGAGCGGCCGAUGCCAGAUUAGGUAGUUGGUGGGGUAAAGGCUCACCAAGCCGACGAUCUGUAGCUGGUCUGAGAGGACGACCAGCCACACUGGGACUGAGAAACGGCCCAGACUCCUACGGGAGGCAGCAGUGGGGAAUUUUGGACAAUGGGCGCAAGCCUGAUCCAGCAAUGCCGCGUGCAGGAAGAAGGCCUUCGGGUUGUAAACUGCUUUUGUACGGAACGAAACGGCUCUGGUUAAUACCUGGGGCUAAUGACGGUACCGUAAGAAUAAGCACCGGCUAACUACGUGCCAGCAGCCGCGGUAAUAC
rnacentral:rRNA from 1 species